rnacentral:pre_miRNA from 1 species
ACAACAUUCGGACCGUCGGUCUACCGAGUAAUAUUUAACCAGCUCGGUGGAAGAUCUUUCCUUUUGUCGU